GGCGCUAUAGCCAAGUGGUUACGGCGACAGAUUAGAAUCAGAGAAGUUCGACAUCAUAAUCUGUUCCUCUUUGAGGGCGCAGGUUCAAAUCCUGCUGGCGUCG